UUACCUGGUUUGAUCCUGCCAGUAGUCAUAUGCUUGUCUCAAAGAUUAAGCCAUGCAUGUCUAAGUACAGGCCGACCCAAGGCGAAACCGCAAAUGGCUCAUUAAAUCAGUCAUGAUUCAUUGGAUGUUGAUGAAUCUUUUACUCGGAUAACCGUGGUAAUUCUAGAGCUAAUACGUGCAAUCGAGCUCCGACCCCGCCAUUCCAGGCGGGGGAAGGGCGCAUUUAUUAGAAUCAUAAACCGAGCGGACUGCGGUCCGUCUCAUACGAGGUUGUGAUGACUCUGAAUAACUACGCCGAGCGCUGAGGCCUUCGUGCCGGCGCCGUAUCCUCCGAGUGUCUGCCUUAUCAGCUUUCGAUUGUAGGUUAUACGCCUACAAUGGCUGUAACGGGUAACGGGGAAUCAGGGUUCGAUUCCGGAGAGGGAGCCUGAGAAACGGCUACCACAUCUAAGGAAGGCAGCAGGCACGCAAAUUACCCACUCCCGGCACGGGGAGGUAGUGACGAUAAAUAACGAUGCGGGACUCUUCCGAGGCCUCGCAAUCGGAAUGAGUUCACUCUAAAUACUUGGACGAGGAUCCAUUGGAGGGCAAGUCUGGUGCCAGCAGCCGCGGUAAUUCCAGCUCCAAUAGCGUAUAUUAAAGUUGCUGCGGUUAAAAAGCUCGUAGUUGGACUUUAAGAUACGUACCGGCGGCCCAUCCAAGGCGCGCCCUCGCCGUUCGUCGGCUUUUAAGGCGUUUAGGCGCUUUAGCCGUUCGGCCCGCCCUUCACCUUUCGCGGCCCUUCUCGCUUCUCCCCCUCCGAAACCCUCUCGCUCAUCAACCCCUCUUUUCUCGGGGAGAUCGGUCCACACCUGGCUUUUUAGAAAGCCACUCCCCGCCUCGUCGGGGUCGCUCGGCGUCGCGUCGUCGUGUCGUCGGCGAAACGUAAGCGGUUUUACCGUUCCGCGUUUCCCGUCGCUCACACGCGCGCUCGUCGUCGGCCGCAAAAAACCGCGGGGCGCGGGGGCUACGGUGUCCCGCUCCCGCAAAAAACGGGAAAACGAGGUGGUCGGGCGAACCAAGGGGGCAGAAAGAGGCGUCGCGAGUUUCUGGCGUCGCGGGAGUGUCGGGUAAAUAAAGGUCGGGCGGUGUUUAGCUCGGCGAGAGGCGGGUAAGCGCGCCCGGUGGUUCACUUGCCGGCAACGAAUUUUUAAAAGCCGUCGGCGCUCACGGGGUGCUCUUUACCGAGUGUCCCGCGUGGCCGACACGUUCACUUUGAAAAAAUUAGAGUGCUCAAAGCAGGCAAACCUUAUAGCCUGAAUGUAUAUGCAUGGAAUGAUGGAACAGGACCUCGGUUCUGCAUUUUUCUCUCGGUUUUCCGAACCCGAGGUAAUGAUUAACGGGAACGGACGGGGGCAUUAGUAUUGCGACGCUAGAGGUGAAAUUCUUGGACCGUCGCAAGACUAACUACUGCGAAAGCAUUUGCCAAGAACGCUUUCAUUAAUCAAGAACGAAAGUUAGAGGAUCGAAGGCGAUCAGAUACCGCCCUAGUUCUAACCUUAAACGAUGCCAACUGGCGAUCCGCUUACGUCAUUCCCACGACUGAGCGGGGAGCCCCCGGGAAACCAAAGUCUUUGGGUUCCGGGGGAAGUAUGGUUGCAAAGCUGAAACUUAAAGGAAUUGACGGAAGGGCACCACCAGGAGUGGAGCCUGCGGCUUAAUUUGACUCAACACGGGGAACCUCACCAGGCCCAGACACCGGAAGGAUUGACAGAUUGAGAGCUCUUUCUCGAUUCGGUGGGUGGUGGUGCAUGGCCGUUCUUAGUUGGUGGAGCGAUCUGUCUGGUUGAUUCCGAUAACGAACGAGACUCUACCCUACUAACUAGUCGGUGGAUCGUAUCCCGAGACGGGUUCCCCUGUCGGGGGGUUCGGUGCGGUACGUUGGCCCUCCGGCCGCGGCGUCCUUCCUCCUAAAGCGGCGGGAAAAUGCCGUCCUUCGUCCCCUCCAUCUCGGGCGUUUCGGCGUUUCGAGGUCGGAGAAGGGCGGGAGUCGGUACUACUCGUGCGCGUAGGGGGGCCAAAAUGGGGCGUCGCGCGUCGUUAGAGGCGUCGCGUCCGCGCUCGCUACAUUCCCCGUGCAGGGCCCAGCGAGGGGCGUCCACCGCAACAUCUUCUUAGAGGGAUCGGCGGCGUCCAGGCGCACGAGAGAGAGCAAUAACAGGUCUGUGAUGCCCUUAGAUGUUCUGGGCCGCACGCGCGCUACAAUGAAGGGAUCAGCGUGCUUUCCCCCUCCGAAAGGAGCGGGUAACCCGUUGAAACCCCUUCCCGAUUGGGAUUGGGGAUUGCAAGUGUUUCCCAUGAACGAGGAAUUCCCAGUAAGCGCAAGUCAUCAGCUUGCGAUGAUUACGUCCCUGCCCUUUGUACACACCGCCCGUCGCUACUACCGAUUGAAUGAUUCAGUGAGGGCGUCGGACUGGCGCCCUCGGUAGCUCUCGGUUUCGGGCAAUGCGCCUUCGCCCUUCCGGGGCGUUUGGCGGGCUCGGCCGUUAGGCACCCCCGGGCCGCCGGAAAGACGUCCGAACUUGAUCAUUUANAGGAAGUAAAAGUCGUAACAAGGUUUCCGUA
rnacentral:rRNA from 1 species